UGAACCCAGGAGGCAGAGGUUGCAGUGAACUGAGAUCACACCACUGCACUCCAGCCUGGGCGAUGGAGCGAGACUCUGUCUCAAAAAUAAAUAAAUAAGUUAAUUAAUUAAUUAAUUGACCUCUAGCUGGGCCCUCUCCAGGUGCCCUGGCUUCAUACCCAGAGUCUCUGGCAGAUAGACAUGACUCUUCCGUGGAGAAACUAAGAGAGUAAUAACUGGCCCCGGGUUUAUCCAGUCAGUAAGCUGACUGCCAGACAGUCCUCGUUCUGAAGGGAAGUAAAGAGGAAUGCAGAAAGGAAUGAAUUCUGCUCGCUUGUGAACCCUCCUAACUCUUCACAAAAAAAUUGCUUACAACUUCUUAGCAGAUGUUCAGUAUCUGUAUUCACUAGAUUCUCAGCUUCCCUUCUCCCUCUAUUCAAUGACAAUGUUUGUGCUCCUCUCUGAGAGAAAAGAUAACAAAGACACAGCCCCGUCCUUGGGUCGUUUAGAAUUUACACUGUCCUCAAAGUUUUUAAUCCCUGCUUACGAAAUCAUAAAGGAAUUAAACGCAACAGGGCAGGGAUGGGGAGGGAGAGAAGCUAGAAAUCCCCCAAACUGCUAUUACCAUGCAGACUGUCAGCAGAAAUGUUUAGGCAAAUCAAAGAGAGAAAAUCAGUGACCGUCCUUCGACAAAGCAGAAACUUCCCUUGGAGGCUCUAGGGAGGUUUGAACAAGGCCGUCUCAGGCCCCACAUUCAACAGCGUUAGCGGCAGGCCCUGUUAGGCUUUACCCUUAUUAUGACCCCACCUUUCCCCCCUGCACUGCGCCCAGCCUGGUGCCGGCGACGCCUCUCAGGUUACCUUGAAGCCUUCGGGGCAAGUCCCAUCAGCCAACGCAACAUCAGACCAGACUCUCCUGAUUUCCUCUCCCCAUCAACAAAAACCUUCCCUGGGGCCUGCUGUUUCCUAAGGUGACAACUAGUUAAAUUAGACAAAUGCACCUACCUGUGGCUGGUGCACUGACCGCUUCUCUUGAGUUAAUGUGUCCCCUCUUGUAUCAAUCAGCGUUCUUAGUCUCAUGCAGCUGAAGACGGUUCUGUCUGAUUUAAGCAGCUUAUGCAUUUAGUAAGAGAAUAUUGGUAAGCUCUGGACUCUCGGGAAGGCUGAGGAACAGGCUUGGAAAAUAGGCAGGAACAGAAGAUGCCAUGUAGCAAUUGGGACCUGCUUGUCUCGAACUCCUGACUUCAGCCCCAAUCAUGCCAUAAGCAGUAACUGUGGGAGCAUGGCUGCAGCCACCCCUGCCACCUGCUGCUGAAGUAAACGCUCCCUAAAUUCUGCUGUGUCACCAGUUCCGGACCCUGGGUCAUGCGCCCCUGCCUUGAGUACAAGAAGGACCGGCACAGCCAUGCUGUACCUCUUGGCAAGGUGUCUAUGGCAGAAGAUAGGCUCCGCGUCCUCCAAAUUCUCAUGAGGGGGCAGAGAUCUUGAAACCUAAGAAGGGAAGUAAGAUGUUGAGCAAACAAAGUGAAUGAAAAGAUCCAGCCCGGGAGGAUGGCAAAUUGAGCCCCAACCCUGCCUGUGACUGUGACUUUAGAAGGCUGUGGGCUUUCCUUCCUAGUGUUUUCCAUCACAAGGAUCCAAAGGACAGCGUACUGGCAAGGGAAGGACUCACAAAGCCUGUGACCAGCAUUCUCCGGUGGGGCCAGAACGGUGGUCUGCCUAAGAGCUCCCGUUCAGCCAGGUGAGGCACCACAUGGUUCUUCCUCAGUGGGUGGGAAGUAGGGGGCCAUCCCCAAUUGCCACAUGCCAGAAUAUUCAGACAGGAGAAUAUUCAGAAUCACAGAUAAAUCAUGUCAGAGACUGGUGUGUGAACAUGAGUAACAGUAACUUAGAUUUUGGAAAUCCAGUCAUAAAACAAAAGCUGAAGGUUUUUCUAGAGGCAUUUAAGUUAGGGAUCAAUUUCAAUUGAUUCUUUCUUUCCUUCUUUUUUCCUUUCCCUCCCUCCUUUCCUUCCUUCCUUCCUUCCCUCCUUCCCUCCC